ensembl:lncRNA
UGAGCAGCGAUGAACGAACAGUAUGAUGUAUUCUGUUUACCCAGAGUUUAGAAUGACCCAGGGUUAAAAAUUGUGAUAAAGCCCGAGAGAGAGUAGGCUACGCGAUUUUGGUUCCAGCCGUCAACGUGCAUAUUCCGUUAAUUAAACCGCUGUUUUAAGUGAUUCAUCAAAAGAACCAACUCAUGAGAGUCAUUUGCUUGGGAACUGUACUUGCACUGGUAGGCUACCUAUAUUUGAUUCACAAAAAGAGUCGAUUUAUUAGUUUGAUAAUCGGACUAAAUUGACCGGGUUGUAUGUUUUCGUUACACACACACACACACACACACACACACACACACACACACACACACACACACACACACACAGACAAGAGUCGUAAAGUCAUUACUUUAGUUGCGUUUGACUGACUAAAAAGCAACCAGUUCAGAGGAGUCAUUCGUUGAGGAAUCAGGCUACACUGAUCCAGUUGCACCCCCCCCAGUCUCUCUCUCUCUCUCUCUCUCUCUCGCGCGCGCGCGCGCCAGCGCCAGCUCAGUCCGUAUCUCCAUCGGUCUGAGUCCUCAGCGCUGGCAAGGGAUAACAAACUGCUUUUCCGCAGCAAUACGUGGUCAACGGAACAGCCCACAGAGUUUAGACAGAAUCACUGCAUCUCAAGGUUCUCCACUGAGCAGAUGCCUGCAAGCUCCACCAACUUAUCAGUGGACAUUCACAGAAGAUUUGGGUGUUUUGAAGGCAGGGUCUUCCCUGGUUGGUUGUGAAGAUCUAAGUAAACAAAGCUUGUUACUGUGGCAUAACUGGCCUUUGGAUCUGAAAAGUGGCAGCAGAGUCCUAUUGAAACAAGAAGCCUCCAGAACCAUCCAAAAUAUCCUAUAAAGAUGGAAUUCAAAUUAAAACCUUGAAUGCUGAUUUAUUAGAGUGAAAAGUGAAAGAGCGGUUCUUGGGAGGGUAGGUGGCUGGAGCUGUGCCAGUCACGACUGGAAGGAGGAGAGAGUGAGCGAUAGAUAAGACGAGGAAAGAAA